rnacentral:rRNA from 1 species
UGAGGAAUAUUGGUCAAUGGACGAGAGUCUGAACCAGCCAAGUAGCGUGCAGGAUGACGGCCCUAUGGGUUGUAAACUUCUUUUGUUUGGGAAUAAUCGACAUUACGUGUAAUGUUUUGCAUGUACCAUUCGAAUAAGGACCGGCUAAUUCCGUGCCAGCAGCCGCGGUAAUACGGAAGGUCCUGGCGUUAUCCGGAUCUAUUGGGUUUAAAGGGAGUGUAGGUGAUUGGUUAAGCGUGUUGUGAAAUGUAGAUGCUCAACAUCUGACUUGCAGCGCGAACUGGCUGCCUUGAGUACACACAACGUAGAAGGAAUUCAUGGUGUAGCGGUGAAAUGCUUACAUAUCAUGAAGAGCUCCGAUUGCGAAGACAGCUUACGGGAGUGUUACUGACGCUUAAGCUCGAAGAUGCGGGUAUCGAACAGG